AGAGUUUGAUCCUGGCUCAGGAUGAACGCUGGCGGCGUGCCUAAUACAUGCAAGUCGAACGAGGCCCUUUGUAUUCGUACGAAGGUGUCCUAGUGGCGAACGGGUGAGUAACGCGUUGGUGACCUACCCCAAAGUCUGGGAUAACAGUUCGAAAGGACUGCUAAUACCGGAUGUGGUCAUCGGAUUUAGAAACCGAUGUCUAAAGGAUUUAUUCGCUUUGGGAGGGGCCUGCGUCCCAUCAGCUAGUUGGUAAGGUAACGGCUUACCAAGGCGACGACGGGUAGGGGACCUCAGAGGGUGGCCCCCCACAAUGGAACUGAAACACGGUCCAUACAUCUACGGAUGGCAGCAGUAGGGAAUAUUGCACAAUGGGCGAAAGCCUGAUGCAGCAACGCCGCGUGUGCGAAGAAGGCCUUCGGGUCGUAAAGCACUUUUCUGGGAGAUGAGAAAGGACAGUAUCCCAGGAAUAAGUCUCGGCUAACUACGUGCCAGCAGCCGCGGUAAAACGUAGGAGGCGAGCGUUAUCCGGAUUCACUGGGCGUAAAGCGCGUGCAGGCGGUUUGGUAAGUUGGGCGUGAAAGCUCCCGGCUCAACUGGGAGAGGUCGUCCAAAACUACCAGACUAGAGAGCGAUAGAGGAAAAUGGAAUUCCCGGUGUAGUGGUGAAAUGCGUAGAUAUCGGGAGGAACACCAGUGGCGAAGGCGAUUUUCUGGAUCGUUUCUGACGCUCAGACGCGAAAGCUAGGGUAGCAAACGGGAUUAGAGACCCCGGUAGUCCUAGCCGUAAACGAUGUGAACUUGGCGUUGGUGGCUUAAACACCAUCAGUGCCGUAGCUAACGCGAUAAGUUCACCGCCUGGGGACUACGACCGCAAGGUUAAAACUUAAAGGAAUUGACGG
rnacentral:rRNA from 1 species